AUAUAUCUAUACCUAUAUAUAAAGCAGAGGCUCUAACAACUUCUGCUAAUAUUGUGACACCUGGCCUGCUAAAACUCUCUGUUUCUUCUUACGUGGACACUCUACAAUUCCUUUAUUUGUUUUUCAGACGCUCUCAGCUCUCCCCCUAUUUCUCCAAUACUCUUUCUCUCCAAACGUCUCCCGUCUCCCGUCUCCUGCGGCAAUAAAAGCAGCGAAGGAAAAACGGCCAUUUUUUUCCUACGUUUGCUGCUCCCCUUCUCUCUUUCCAUCUCCCAAUUAAACAUGGUCGUUUCCAUAUCCCACAAAAUCGUUCCUUUGGUGUUUACGUGCUUGAAUGUCAUAGCCCACAAAAGCUGCAACCGAUUGAUGCUCCCUUUGUUGCUUCCUUGCUUGGUUUCCAUACCCUACAAAAUCUGAAGUCGAUUCUGAUUUUCAUAUAGAUGGUUGGCGUGCUCCUGAAUUUGGUGGGGGAUGGAGUUUUUGAUUUGCUGUGGGGGAUGGAGUCUUCGAUUUGCUGUGGGUGUUUGGUCUGAUUCAUAGCUUGGUUGCAAUCGGCCGCCUCAGAUAUUGCAUAUGCAGAAUUGGCUCCAACUCACCCGAUCCGUUUGAGACUGGCUCUAAACUUUUGUUUUCUACUAUGAGAUUCUGAAUUCUCCUGACUGUGCCUGCAACCUUACGAAGCAGGUUUUGAUAAAACAUAUUGACAUGGUUUCAACACUUUAAUAUGUCCACAGGUUUUGAACUUUAAUCAUAUCUUUGUUUACAUUAUAUAGUGUUUUCAAAUGGAGUGCACCCAAGAACGAGACAUAAGAUUUUCUGUUGCCGUGUGGUCUGGAGUUCGGCAACAUAGGCAUGCAAGAUUGUUUAGGCGAUUUAAGUUACAACAACAUAGAUUAAGAAGGAGCAUUUUGGGGAUUGCCAUUGAGUAGAGAUUUAAAUUUGCUAGGUAUAAGAGAAAAGUAUUUCUUAGGCGAAUAAGGUCUGAUCGUGCCCUUCACUUUGGAGGUAUUUUUAAUGUUUUGCGUUGUCAAGUGGUCUUUCAUGUUCUGUCUUAUUUUAUGUUUAUUUGUUUGUUAUUUUCAAAUAAUAAAUUCUAGGGAUGGGUUUUUCAAGUUUAAGUUUUUAAUUUUGGCAAUUUUUUUCAAAUUAAAUUAUAUAUAUAUAUAGUUUAUUGUGAGAUAUUUGAGUUUUUAUUUUUUUCCCUGUAUUUUUUAAAUCUCAAAAAUUAAAUUAAUUUCUAAAAAUGUAUAUUGUGAAAGAGAGGCUCUAACAGAAGUGAAUGUUUAAUAUGGCUAUUUCUAAAUCAUGUAUCAUCCAAGUUUGAUAUAGGGUAUUCGUCUACGACUUGACAUACUCUGUCUAGAUAGAAUGUUGUCUUUUUAUGCUUUCAUGAAAGCCCACAUAUGUAGUAUUUUUUUCUUCAUGUAUCUGAGUUUUGCUUAAUGUAUUCUUAGCAUUUUUCCUUCGUGUCUCGAGUGAAUUUUCCAGCAAGAAUCAUUGGUAUGAACUCAUGAUACAAAUAUACUUAAUGUCAAGAAACUCUAGGUGUGAUGCCUAGGUUCUAUCUUUCUUCUUUCUUUUUUUCUUUCUAAUAUUUCAUGUCAUUAAUUUAUAUUUUUUUCUACACCAAUUUAUUGUAUCGUUUCGAAUAUUUUCUGGCACAAAAGUUUUUUAUAUUCAAUAUUGCACUCCUAAUAAGAAAUGAAGAAGGAGGAUAUCACUGUUUCAUAAUUGUGAUAAGACAAAAUAUACAAGAUCGGACUAAGUUGAUGGAAUACUGACAUGUUUUCAGAGAUAUGAUAUUGUCAGGAAAUGAAAAAAUAAUUUCUAUGAGCUACGAGUGUAGAAUAUCAGGAAUCAUGAAUUUGAAAAAGAAGUUGAAAAAAAAUUAAAUAUACAAAAUAACAUCAAAAAACUAACAAAUAAAAAUGAAAAAAGAAAAUCAUACCCGCGCGUCGCGCGGGAUUUCG